CACGUAGGGUGCGAGCGUUGUCCGGAAUUAUUGGGCGUAAAGAGCUCGUAGGCGGUGUGUCGCGUCGGCCGUGAAAACCUGCAGCUUAACUGUGGGCUUGCGGUCGAUACGGGCAUCACUGGAGUUCGGCAGGGGAGACUGGAAUUCCUGGUGUAGCGGUGAAAUGCGCAGAGUAUCAGGAGGAACACCGGUGGCGAAGGCGGGUCUCUGGGCCGAUACUGACGCUGGAGGAAGCGAAAGCGUGGGGAGCGAACAGG
rnacentral:rRNA from 1 species